AAGAAUAAUACCUUUAUAGGAUAAAUACCUAAGGGGUAGUAGGAUAUAAUGAAGAAACUUCAGGCUCACUAGAUUGAGCUAGAACUUGCUGAUCCCUUAGAGCUCGCUUCUUUGCACAUCCUCGACCUCACCCCAUGUGCUUGGACAAAAAGUAAAUGGUAGUCGUGUUCAAUUCCACCCUCUUGUCUCUUGCCCAGGUUAUUAAGCGUGUGAUCCUCGUGGAAGAUGUUGUGAAUAUCCAAUAAACUAUGAAAUGGUAGUGCUUGAGUGAUGUGGACAUGUUUGUAGAACGUCACCUCUAUGCAUCUAGUGCUCUUGGAGAUAUCGGUCACAAACUAAUUGUGCACUCUAAAGUUGACUCUUGCUGCCCAAUGAUGCCACACUCUAAGACUUGAAUUUUAUCUGGAAAAUAUUUUUCGAG
rnacentral:lncRNA from 1 species